UACGAAGGGUGCAAGCGUUAAUCGGAAUUACUGGGCGUAAAGGGUGCGUAGGCGGUUGUUUAAGUCUGCUGUGAAAUCCCCGGGCUCAACCUGGGAAUGGCAGUGGAUACUGGACAGCUAGAGUGUGUCAGAGGAUGGUGGAAUUCCCGGUGUAGCGGUGAAAUGCGUAGAGAUCGGGAGGAACAUCAGUGGCGAAGGCGGCCAUCUGGGACAACACUGACGCUGAGGCACGAAAGCGUGGGGAGCAAACAGG
rnacentral:rRNA from 1 species